UCGCUUCACAGGUCACAAUUUGUGUAAAUUUUGCUCCUUUUUUAUUUACCCUAAUCCUGGAUUUACCCCCUUUAUGCACAAUUAGGUUAAUUCACGAUGGAUCAUGUAAUUGCUGGGAGGUUUAAACUGGGAAGGAUAAUUGGAACCGGGUCUUCUGCGGAUAUUUAUAUAGCCGGGGUACCUCGCCUCAAGUGGUUUGGAGUUGAUGGAGACUACAAUCUCAUGGCAAUGGACCUUCUUGGACCUAGUUUGGAAGAUCUGUUCAAUUAUUGCGACAGGAAAUGGACCUUCUAGGACGACAAUCAAACAAGGUCUACAUUAUCGACUAUGGUCUCGCCAAACAUUUCAGAGAUCUUCGGACUCAUGAGCACAUACCAUAUCACGUGACAGUGGCGAGGCGGCUAUGAAUGCAGGGCCAUCUGGUAGUCCUCCAUCUGCUGCAUAGAGAAUUUAACCUGUGUAUGAGACCAAACAGCCAACAAGGUGGAAUUUCUCCCCCUUCCUAAGACAUGCUGUAGAGAGAACUCUGUUUUAAUUUCUCCUCCUUACUAGAUACAUGUUUUAUUCUCAAGAAGAAAAAAAUAUUGGAUAAAACUAGAGUUGUAGUUCAUAGUGCAU